GUAAGAUGUUGUUCCUGAUUUUGGUAAUUUAUGUCUUCUCUCUUUUUUGGUUGAUUUGUUUGUUUUUCUGAGUCAGGGUCUCGCCCUGUCAGGCUGGAGUGCAAUGGCACGAUCAUAGCUCACUGCAGCUUCAAACUCCUGGGUUCAAGCAAUUCUGCUGCCUCAGCCUCCCAAGCAGCUGGGACUAUAGGUGUGUGCUGCCAAGCCAGGCCCUCUUCUCGAUUUUUUUUUUUUUUUUUACAUGGCAGAGUCUCGCUCUGUUGCCAGGCUGGAGUGCAGUGGCACGAUCUUGGCUCACUGCAAUCUCCACCUCUCGGGUUCAAGCGAUUCCCCUGCCUGGGCCUCCCGAGUAGCUGGGACUACAGGCGCCUGCCCCCCCAUCGCCUGGCUAAUUUUUUGUAUUUUCAGUAGAGACGGAGUUUCACCGUGUUAGCCAGGAUGGUCUCCAUCUCCUGACCUCGUGAUCUGCCCGCCUCAGCCUCCCAACGUGCUGGGAUUACAGGCGUGAGUCACCGUGCCCGGCCUUCUCGCUUUUUUAUGUGGCAAUCUAGCAAAGGGUCUUGCUCUGACCCCCAGGCUGGAGUGCAGUGGUACAAUCUCGGCUUACCGCAGCCUCUACCUCUGGGACUCAAGCGGUCCUUCCACCUCAGCCCCCCAGAGUAGCUGGAACUAUAGGCACAUGCCACUGUGCCCGGUUAAUUUUUUGUAAGUUUUGUAGGGGUGGGGUCUUGCCAUGUUGCCCAGGCUUGUCCCUUUUUUUUUUUUUUUCCUGAAUAGUAUUCUGGAUGUACUAUAGUUUGUUUAACGAUUCACCUAUUGGAGGACCUCUGGGUUGUUUCCAUUUAUUGCCUGUUACAAUAAAGCUGCGGUAUUCAGCUUAAUUAAGCAAGAUUAAAUACAUGUAUAAAAAAGUAAAGCUGCUAUAAAUAUUCAUAUACAGGUCUUUGAACUUAAAUUUUCAGUUCUCCUGAAUAAAUGUCAAGCAGUACAAUUCCUGGGUUGUGUGGUAGUUUUAGCAUUUAUUUGUUUAUUCCUGGUAACUCACAGAAAAGGUAGUUUUAGUUUUUAAACAUGUUUAGUUUUUAAAGAAACUGCCAAACUGUUUUCCAGAGUGGCUGUACUUUUUAACAUUCCCACCAGCCAUCACUACCUUUUAUUUUGGCCACUCUGAUAGGUGUGCAGGUGUGCAGUGAUAUCUCAUUGUGGUUUUAACUUGCAUCUCUGUAAUGGCUAUGAUAUUGAAUGUCUUUUCAUGGGCUUAUUUGCCAUCUGUAUAUCCUUUUUGAUGAAAUGACUGUUCAUGUCCUUUCCUCAUUUUGUAAUUGGAUUAUUUACUUUUUUACUGUUGAGUUUUGAGAUCCUAAUUCUUUGUCAAAUAUGUGGUUUGCAAAUAUUUCCUUCCAGUCUGUAGACUGACUUUUUAUUCUCUAAACAGGUUCUAUUACAGCAAAAUUUUACAUUUCAAUGAAGUUCAACUUACCCACUUUUCCUUGUAUGAUACUAUGGGUGUUAAAUUUAAGAACACUUAGCCUGGCUCUAGAUCCUGAAGAUUUUCUAGUUUUCUUUUCCCUGAAGUUUUAUAGUUUUAUGUUUUACAUUUAAGACCAUGACCCAUUUUGAGUUAGUUUUUGUAUAAGGUGUGCAGUUAGGUGGAGUCUCAUUUUUGCCUAUGAAUGUAUAAUUUCUGUAGCACCAGUUAUUGAAAAGGGUUUUUGUUAAAAAUCAGUUGAGUAUAUUCAUGUGGGCCUGUUUCUGGGUUCUCUAAUCUGUUCCAUUGAUCUGUGUCUGUCCCUUUGCCAGUAUCACACAAUCUGG
rnacentral:lncRNA from 1 species